CUGGGCAAGGAUGAUUGGUAUGGGGCCCCACCUUCUUUUGUCCUCCUCCCUUGGUACUCGGUCCCUCAGGGAAAUACACCUGUUGCAGACCGGCAGCUGGUGGGGACGGUCUAACUUCUGCUUCUCACACCACCGCUUCUGUGCUGAGGAACUUCCCUGUGCAACCUGAGAGACUCUUUUGGGAGCCAUGAGGGAGGCCCACUGGAGGAGUGUCCCCUUGGUGUUCCUGAGCUGCUUAUGUUCCUGCCUCCUUUGGCCAGUGGCCUGGGGUACAGAAAAACCAGAGAAAACACUACUUCCUGAAACCUCCACAGGACAACAAACUCUG